rnacentral:rRNA from 1 species
GACGAACGCUGGCGGCGUGCCUAAUACAUGCGAGUCGAACGAGAGCGACCGGUGCUUGCACUGGUCAAUCUAGUGGCGAACGGGUGAGUAACACGUGGGUAACCUGCCCAUCAGAGGGGGAUAACAUCCGGAAACGGAUGCUAAAACCGCAUAGGUCUUCGAACCGCAUGGUUCGAAGAGGAAAAGAGGCGCAAGCGUCUGCUGAUGGAUGGACCGGCGGUGCAUUAGCUAGUUGGUGAGGUAACGGCUCACCAAGGCCGGGAUGCAUAGCCGACCUGAGAGGGUGAUCGGCCACACUGGAACUGAGACACGGCCCAGACUCCUACGGGAGGCAGCAGUAGGGAAUCUUCCGCAAUGGACGCAAGUCUGACGGAGCAACGCCGCGUGAGUGAAGAAGGUUUUCGGAUCGUAAAACUCUGUUGUUAGGGAAGAAUAAGUGCUAGAGUAACUGUUAGCGCCUUGACGGUAUCUAACCAGAAAGCCACGGCUAACUACGUG